UCUGCCUUUAGUUUCAAGUGUGGAAGCUAUGUCACAUGUGUGUCAGUAGGGGGCAGAAAGGAGAGAGACUAUGUCUAUUCUCAGUGUUCUCACCUAUGAAUAUCUGAGUGAUAAAUAGUCUAACAUU